rnacentral:rRNA from 1 species
GACGAACGCUGGCGGCGUGCUUAACACAUGCAAGUCGAACGGAAAGGCCCUGCGUUUGUUGGGUUCUCGAUUGGCGAACGGGUGAGUAACACGUGAGUAACCUCCCCCUGACUGUGGGAUAACUUUAGGAAACUGGGGCUAAUACCCGAUAUAAGCUCUUGCAGCGUGGUGUGGGUUGGAGAGAUUCGGCCGUUGGGGCUGGAGUAGCGGCUUCUCCGCUUGUUGGGGGGGUAGUGGCUUACCAAGGCUUUGAAGGCAAGCGUGCCUGAGAGGGUGACCGGCCACAUUGGGACUGAGGUACGGCCCAGACUGCUACGGGAGGCAGCAGUGGGGAAUAUUGCACAAUGGGCGGAAGCCUGAUGCAGCAACGCCGCGUGCGGGAUAACGGCCUUCGGGGUGUAAACCGCUUUCGCCUGUGAUGAAGCGUGAGUGACGGUAAUGGGUAAAGAAGCACCGGCUAACUACGUG